UUGAUAAUACCUUUGUAUUGCUAGAAAUGUCCUAAACUCUCAGUGGAUGAUUAGUAGAACAUGGCAUCCUCUUGUUGUCUUUAUGCUGUAGGGAUUGCCUGUAUUAUUAAAAUAGAAUUUCCACCAUUUUAGUUUACCGGAGUUUCAGAAGACAGAAAAUAACAUUUCACUCGGCCCUGCUUGGCUGUUCCUGUCCCCGGAUGGCUCAGAGAUCCUUCCUUCAAGGAAAUCCGUGUCCCAGUGGUUCCAUACACACACCAACAUGCAUUUCUGUGUCAGCAAAACAGUUCUGACAACUGCAGGGAAUGCUGCUGUUUGAGGGUAUUCCAAGGAAAUAACCUCUGCUGGGAAAUGCCUGUAAGGGUUCCACGGGGGUGGCUCAACCCCACUGUUUUCACUGGAGGAAAACCCGCCUGGUUUCUGGGAGCACAUCCUUGCCCCAGUGGGAUGUGCUGGCAUUCCGUUCCUCCCGUGUUCCACUUGUGUCCCUCAUCAGAAGGGAACAUGCAGCCACGUUCUGUGUGCCCCAGAGCUGGGUCCUGCAGUGCAGCUCUCCCUCCUGCCUGCUCCAUCUGUGGCAAUCCCACCCAGGGGAGAUGUUGCAAGGCAUCUCUGAUUAACACAGGGCUAUAUAACCCUGUUUGCCAAAGCAAGACUAAGAGAGAAGGGAGGGACAGACCUUGAGACCUCAGAAGCAGAGCCGGGGAGGACACAGAGCCAGAGCCAGUGGGACAGCAAUGCCAGCCUCUGGGAAUGUGAGGAGAAGAGGAGGAGGAUGCCUUCCCAAGAGGAAGGCUCCUGCCCCACCUCAGGACUCGUGGCUGCACAGCAGGAAACUCUAUCACAGCAGAGAAGGCUCAAAUCAAUUCUGGUGGGAAGCAGCACCCUGUGCUGCCCAGAAAGCAAAGUCCAGUAUUGAAGCUGAUCCAUUUAGUGCCAAAGAGGUCACAAAUUGGAGCAUCUUCACUGCCCAUGUGGAUGGUUGGUGACAACUUCAAACCUGGCAUAUGUAGAAAGGACAACACUGCAUUUCUAAGACCCUAUGGCUGAAAUAUGAAAAUAUUAUGCUCCAAAUAGGAGCAGCUGUGGCUGAGAUGAACAGUUCUCAUCAAUCCAGUGUGAAAAUAAACAUUAUACACAAUGAUCAGCCCUCAGCUGAAUGGAGGCUGGGAGGUCUGUACUGGUCCAACCUCACAUCCAGCUGGUGAUUUAUCAGUAAACAUUUCUGUAUUACCUACAGACUCUCAGA